rnacentral:rRNA from 1 species
GACGAACGCUGGCGGCGUGCUUAACACAUGCAAGUCGAACGAAGUGGCGAACGGGUGAGUAAUACGUGGGUAACCUGCCCUCCUUUUUGGGAUAAGCCUUGGAAACGGGGUCUAAUACCGAAUAAAGGGGGAUGGGGUCGCGGCCUAUCAGCGGGGUGGUGGGGGGAUGGCCUACCAAGGCGGUGACGGGUAGCCGGCCUGAGAGGGUGACCGGGCACAUGGGGACGGAGAUACGUCCAAGAAUGCUACGGGAGGGAGAAUUGUGUGCUAUUGGACAAUGGGGGAACGACGGAUGAAGCGUGGCCGCGUGGGGGAUGAAGGCUUUAGGGUUGUAAACCUGUUUCGCGAGCGAACGGGUAGGUGGAGAAGAAGCGCCGGCUAACUACGUGCCAGCAGCCGCGGUAAUAC